rnacentral:rRNA from 1 species
UGUCGUCAGCUCGUGUCGUGAGAUGUUGGGUUAAGUCCCGCCAACGAGCGCAACCCCUGCUGCCAGUUGCAACGGGUAGAGCCGGGCACUCUGGCGGGACUGCCAUCGACAAGAUGGAGGAAGGUGGGGAUGACGUCAAGUCAUCAUGGCCCUUAUGUCCAGGGCGACACACGUGCUACAAUGGCCGGCACAGCGGGAAGCGAGGCAGUGAUGCCAAGCGGAUCCCUUAAAGCCGGUCUCAGUUCGGAUUGAAGUCUGCAACUCGACUUCAUGAAGCUGGAAUCGCUAGUAAUCGCAGAUCAGCCAAGCUGCGGUGAAUACGUUCCCGGGCCUU